AGAGUUUGAUCAUGGCUCAGGACGAACGCUUGCGACGUGCCUAAGAAAUGCAAGUCGAACGGGGGAGCAAUCCCUAGUGGCGAACGGUCGCGUAACACGUGGGCAACCUGCCCCAGAGCGGGGGACAACAGUCCGAAAGGACUGCUAAUACCGCAUGUGGACUGCUCCGGCAUCGGAGUUGUUCUAAAGGAUUUAUUCACUCUGGGAUGGGCCCGCGGCCUAUCAGCUAGUUGGUGGGGUAACGGCCUACCAAGGCUUCGACGGGUAGCUGGUCUGAGAGGACGAUCAGCCGGAUUGGGACUGAGAUACGGCCCAGACUCCUACGGGGGGCAGCAAUUAGGAAUCUUGCGCAAUGGGCGAAAGCCUGACGCAGCGACGUCGCGUGGAGGAUGAAAUCUUUCGGGAUGUAAACUCCUUUUACCAGGGAAGAAGAAUGUGACGGUACCUGGGGAAUAAGCCCCGGCUAACUACGUGCCAGCAGCCGCGGUAAUACGUAGGGGGCGAGCGUUGUCCGAAGUUACUGGGCGUAAAGAGCGCGUAGGCGGGUUCUUAAGUGAGGGGUGAAAGGUUCGGGCUUAACCCGGACACUGCCUUUCAUACUGGGAACCUUGAGUGCGGGAGAGGCGAGUGGAAUGGUCGGUGUAGCGGUGAAAUGCGUAGAUAUCGAUCGGAACACCCAUGGCGAAGGCAGCUCGCUGGCCUGCAACUGACGCUGAGGCGCGAAAGCGUGGGGAGCAAACAGGAUUAGAUACCCUAGUAGUCC
rnacentral:rRNA from 1 species